rnacentral:rRNA from 1 species
GGACCAUCCUCCAAGGCUAAAUACUCGUGAUCGACCGAUAGCGUACUAGUACUGUGAAGGAAAGGUUAAAAGAACCCCGGGAGGGGAGUGAAAUAGAUUCUGAAACCGCAUGCAUACAAACAGUAGGAGCCCUUCGGGGUGACUGCGUACCUUUUGCAUAAUGGGUCAGCGACUUAUGUUAUGUGGCAAGCCUAACCGACUAGGGGAGGCGCAGCGAAAGCGAGUCCGAACAGGGCGAUUCAGUCGCAUGGCAUAGACCCGAAACCAGAUGAGCUAACCAUGGCCAGGCUGAAGGUGUGGUAACACACACUGGAGGGCCGAACCUACUGGUGUUGCAAAACCAGAGGAUGAGCUGUGGUUAGGGGUGAAAGGCUUAACAAAUCUGGAGAUAGCUGGUUCUCCCCGAAAACUAUUGAGGUAGUGCCUUGCGCAUGAGCUUCUGGGGGUAGAGCACUGUUAUAGCUAGGGGGACAUGGCGUCUUACCAAACUAUGGCAAACUCCGAAUACCAGAAAGCUUCGCGCAGGAGACAGAGCACCGGGUGCUAACGUCCGGACUCAAAAGGGAAUCAACCCAGACCGCCAGCUAAGGUCCCUAAUAUCAGCUAAGUGGAAAACGAAGUGGAAAGGCUAAAACAGUCAGGAAGUUGGCUUAGAAGCAGCCAUCCUUCAAAGAAAGCGUAAUAGCUCACUGAUCGAGUCCUUCCGCGCGGAAGAUGUAACGGGGCUAAGUUGAUAACCGAAGCUGCGGAUUCAUACUUUGAGUAUGAGUGGUAGGGGAGCGUUCUGUAAGCCUGCGAAGGUGGAUCGUAAGGUCUGCUGGAGGUAUCAGAAGUGCGAAUGCUGACAUGAGUAACGAUAAAGCGGGUGAAAAGCCCGCUCGCCGCAAACCCAAGGUUUCCUGCUCUACGUUAAUCGGAGCAGGGUGAGUCGGUUCCUAAGGCCAGGCUGAGAAGCGUAGCUGAUGGAAAUCAGGUUAAUAUUCCUGAACCGGCGUUGAAUGCGAUGGGGUGACGGAGCAGCCAGAGUGGACCGGGUGUUGGAUGUCCCGGCUUCCGAGCGAUGGGUGCCUGCAGGCAAAUCCGCAGGCGUAUACCCAGGACGAAGGAUCGGGCCUUCUUUUGAAGGCGAAGCCACUGGAAGCGCUUCCAGGAAAAACCUCUAAGCUUCAGUUCAACGGCGACCGUACCGUAAACCGACACAGGUGGGUGAGCUGAAUAUGCUCAGGCGCUUGAGAGAACUCGGGAGAAGGAACUCGGCAAAUUGACACCGUAACUUCGGAAGAAGGUGUGCCUUUGUAGCUUGAUGGGAGAGAAACCCAAAGGGUGAAGAGGUCUCAGAGAAUCGGUGGCUGUAACUGUUUACUAAAAACACAGCGCUCUGCAAAGAUGAAAGUCGACGUAUAGGGCGUGAUGCCUGCCCGGUGCUGGAAGAUUAAUUGAUGGGGUGCAAGCUCCUGAUCGAAGUCCCAGUAAACGGCGGCCGUAACUAUAACGGUCCUAAGGUAGCGAAAUUCCUUGUCGGGCAAGUUCCGACCUGCACGAAUGGCAUAAUAAUGGCCACACUGUCUCCUCCCGAGACUCAGUGAAAUUGAAAUGUUUGUGAUGAUGCAAUCUCCCCGCGGCUAGACGGAAAGACCCCAUGAACCUUAACUGUAGCUUUGCAUUGGACUUUGAACCGAUCUGUGUAGGAUAGGCGGGAGGCUUUGAAGAAUGGACGCCAGUUCAUUCGGAGCCGUCGUUGAAAUACCGCCCUGAUUUGUUUGAGGUUCUAACCUGGGCCAGUAAUCCUGGCUGGGGACCGUGCAUGGUGGGCAGUUUGACUGGGGCGGUCUCCUCCUAAAGGGUAACGGAGGAGUGCGAAGGUACGCUAAUCACGGUCGGAAAUCGUGAGGAUACUGCAAUGGGAAAAGCGUGCCUGACUGCGAGACAGACAAGUCGAGCAGAUGCGAAAGCAGGUCAUAGUGAUCCGGUGGCUUCUGUAUGGAAGGGCCAUCGCUCAACGGAUAAAAGGUACU